UAAACGACUCUCGGCAACGGAUAUCUCGGCUCACGCAUCGAUGAAGAACGUAGCAAAAUGCGAUACUUGGUGUGAAUUGCAGAAUCCCGUGAACCAUCGAGUUUUUGAACGCAAGUUGCGCCCGAAGCCUUCCGGUUAAGGGCACGUCUGCCUGGGCGUCACGC
rnacentral:rRNA from 1 species